rnacentral:rRNA from 1 species
GAUGAACGCUGGCGGCGUGCCUAAUACAUGCAAGUCGAGCGGACCAAAGAGAGCUUGCUCUCUGAGGUUAGCGGCGGACGGGUGAGUAACACGUGGGUAACCUGCCUGUAAGACGGGGAUAACUUCGGGAAACCGAAGCUAAUACCGGAUGAUAAAGAGAAACGCCUGUUUCUUUUUUGAAAGUCGGCCUUGUGCUGACGCUUACAGAUGGGCCCGCGGCGAAUUAGCGAGUUGGUGAGGUAACGGCUCACCAAGGCGACGAUGCGUAGCCGACCUGAGAGGGUGAUCGGCCACACUGGGACUGAGACACGGCCCAGACUCCUACGGGAGGCAGCAGUAGGGAAUCUUCGGCAAUGGACGAAAGUCUGACCGAGCAACGCCGCGUGAGCGAUGAAGGCCCUCGGGUCGUAAAGCUCUGUUGUCAGAGAAGAACAAGUACCGGAGUAACUGCCGGUACCUUGACGGUACCUGACCAGAAAGCCACGGCUAACUACGUGCCAGCCGCCGCCGUAAUAC